UCUCCGUAGGUGAACCUGCGGAGGGAUCAUUACCGAGUGAGGGUUUCGGCCCGACCUCCAACCCUUUGUGAAUCAAACCUGUUGCUUCGGGGGCGACCCUGCCGUUCGCGGCGCGGCGCCCCCGGGGGAAAUCAAACACUGCAUUCUCUGCGUCGGAGUAUUAGUAAAUCUAAUCAAAACUUUCAACAACGGAUCUCUUGGUUCUGGCAUCGAUGAAGAACGCAGC
rnacentral:misc_RNA from 1 species